UGGGGAAUAUUGCACAAUGGGGGAAACCCUGAUGCAGCGACGCCGCGUGAGCGAAGAAGGUUUUCGAAUCGUAAAGCUCUGUCCUAUGGGAAGAUAAUGACGGUACCAUAGGAGGAAGCCCCGGCUAACUACGUGCCAGCAGCCGCGGUAAUACGUAGGGGGCAAGCGUUGUCCGGAAUCACUGGGCGUAAAGGGUUCGCAGGCGGAAAUGCAAGUCAGUUGUGAAAGGCAGAGGCUCAACCUCUGUAAGCAAUUGAAACUGUAUUUCUUGAGAUGUGGGGAGGCGAGUGGAAUUCCUAGUGUAGCGGUGAAAUGCGUAGAUAUUAGGAAGAAUACCGGUGGCGAAGGCGACUUGCUGGACACAAACUGACGCUGAGGAACGAAAGCGUGGGUAGCAAACAGG
rnacentral:rRNA from 1 species